ensembl:lncRNA
GGUGUGAUCACGAGUCCUUGUAAGUGGGAAUCAGACUCAAAUUUGAAGACACUAUGCUGCUGGUUUUGAAGAUGGAGGAAGGGGCCAGGAGCCCGGAAGUUCAGACAGCCUCUAGACAGUUUCCCAGAGCCUCCAGAAAAAAGGCUGCCCUUUAACACUUUGAUUCUCACCUCAUGCGACCGACUUCAGGCUUCUGAUCUACAUAAUGAAACUUGAAGAUCUUUUGGUGACUCUUUGGGAUGGAGCUUGGAGAGAUGGGUAGAGAAGAUUGAAGGGAUUAUGGGAAGUAAGAGACGAUGGAAAGAAGAUUCCAAAAGAGAGUCACUGGACACCCAUCAGAGGAGGACACUGCGUGGAACAGAGAGAAAACAAGAGAAAGGAUCCUUGAAGGAGGGAAGUAGAAGCAGGUGGUCAAUUAAGAAGCUCCUGCAGCCAUCAAGACAACAGAUGUUCAUGCUGCCUCUGGCUGAGAUGAUUGGAUGGUGUUUGCCAUCAGUGCCUCUAAGACUCCUCACUCUCACUGCAGAGGGCCCAGGUUCGAUCCCUUGUCAGGGAAAUAGAUCCCACAUACAGCCACUGAAGUUCUCACGUCCUGCAACAGAAGAUCCUGUGUGCAGCAACUAAGACCCAGAGCAGCCAAAUAAAUAAAUAUUUUUUAAAAGUAACUCCUUUUAUGUUUAGACAGCUCUGAGAUUCUUCUUUGUUAAAGAAACUGGCCUCCCAAGACUUGAAGAGGCACAAUUUUGUUCUGCAAUCUCCUCUGCGUGACACCUCUCACGUGUGUGAAGAUAGUUCUUGCAGCUUCCUCGGGUCCUCUUUCUGCUUAUCUAGACCAAGCUCCCUGACAGUGCCUUCCUCGGUUCAGGCUCAGAUAUCACUUCUGCAGGAGACACCCUUCAUUCAUGAGGUCAUUCAUUCAUCCAAACUUUAUUAACAACUCAUUGUGUACCAUGUACUUGAUAGAACCUAGAAAUACAGAAAUGAAGGUAUAGUUCCUACCUUCAAGAAAUACAGCAUCCAUCGGGAGAGGGGGACGUUUAAAGAAAUAAUUGUAACAUCACUGGCAAGUGCUGUAACAGGGAUAUGGUGCGACACAAGGGCCACUCAGUCCAACGACUGACUUUUAAACUGGCCAUGCUAGGGCAUUCAUUUUACCAUAAUUAUCUUGCAUGGUGAUCACCGGAACUAAAAAGACUAGAAGAAUUCUAAAAAGAGUACUUCCACCACUCUGAUCUAAAUGUGAUAAUCCUAAGAAUGCAGCCCAGAACUGUAAUUAAUUUAUUUAGCAGAUGACUAACUUAAAAAAAAACUUCUGGCAUUAAUUUCAUGAAAUGCAAUUAGGUCCAUCCUGUGCAAAUGAAAAAAAAAAAAAAAAAACAGAUGGAAGGAUAGAUAGAUAGAGUGACAGUAGACAGAUAUAGGAAGUAUUUUAUAUUUAUUCAUCCUUGGUAAAUACCUUCUCAUUUCAGUCUAGCAAAACACUCAGAUACAGCGCCAGGCCUAAGAAGCAGGGUUGAAUUUCCAAUUCUGCUUCUUCUAGCUGCAGGAACUACCUCUUUAGUCUAUUUAGGGGAUUAAAAGAAAUAAUGAAUGAAAUUAUCUAGCGUAUCUCCAGCCUCAAGCUU